rnacentral:rRNA from 1 species
AGCAGCCGCGGUAAUUCCAGCUCCAAUAGCGUAUAUUAAAGUUGUUGCAGUUAAAAAGCUCGUAGUUGAAUUUCGGGAUUGACGUGAUGGUCAUGCCUUAAGGGGUAUGAACUGUUGCAGUUGAUUUCUCACCUUCUGGAAAAACUUGAUGUCCUUUAUUGGGUGUCUUGCGGAUCCAGGACCUUUACCUUGAAAAAAUUAGAGUGUUUAAAGCAGGCAUUUUUGCUCGAAUACAUUAGCAUGGAAUAAUAGAAUAGGACGGCAUGGUUCUAUUUUGUUGGUUUCUAGGAUCACCGUAAUGAUUAAUAGGGAUAGUUGGGGGCAUUAGUAUUCAAUUGUCAGAGGUGAAAUUCUUGGAUUUAUUGAAGACUAACUACUGCGAAAGCAUUUGCCAAGGAUGUUUUCAUUAAUCAAGAACGAAAGUUAGGGGAUCGAAGACGAUCAAGAUACCGUCGUAGUCUUAACCAUAAAACUAUGCCGACUAGGAAUCAGACGAUGUUAAUUUUUUAAUGACUCGUUU